UGCUAAGGGAUAAAGACAACUUAAAGGGUUC
rnacentral:piRNA from 1 species